UGACAAGGGACAAAAUAGUGUUGUAGACAAAUCAGUUGACCCAUUAAAUAGUCUAAAAUAAUAGACGUGUUAUAAGGAUUUGCCAUAUCAAAAAUCUAAAAAAAAUCCGUCAACGUACAAUUAUUUGGACUAACCCAUUAAAUAGACCAUAACGCUAUUUUGUUGUAAAAAAUGGUUAACAAACUAUGACAAAUGAUGGAAGAGGACAGCAUGAGAGGCAAUAUGGUUUAUGCUAACCCACGAUUGACGCCAUUUCCUAAUGUAUUGAAUGGAACAACAAGAUAAUGUUGCAAUUGUGCAAGACUUGUCAUGCCAAAAUCAUUGUGGGUUUGACCUGUUGCGCUGCUAUGUGAGCCACACUAUCGGGCCGAGUUACAACAUGACUUUAACAGAAGGUGCUCUGUACUGCAGCUACAGAAAUGUCAUGCAACAGACACUUAUCAGAGAGAAUUCCAUCCGCACCUUGGGUUUAUGUUGUGUACAUUCUGGUAAAAGAGGGUAUCCGCCUAAAGAAGGCGCUCAUAUUGCAACACGCAGCGGAUCUUGCCUUCUGUUUCAUCUGCAGAACAACCAUGCUGGCUUGCAAGGCUGGGAACAUCAAGGCCGAGGGUGGCUUUAUCACUGUGGGAUUUAACUACUGGCGGGACGGACCAAAGAAGUUGCUAAUCAACAAGAACUCUUAAUGCCACUAGGAAGUAAUGGAAAGACACAUGAAACUACACUGACAGACUUAGGACAUUGGAAAUGUAUUUAAGGAAGAUCCUUGGGUGGACAUUUGCAAGGCCCUGCUUUCCACAAAGAACAAAGCUGCCAAGAUAAACUUGGCUCUUCGGAUGUGUGCAACUAAAAAUCUUCCAAUGAUGAUGUGUUGUCAGUUGAAGCUUCUGUUUAGAUGUCAUCAAUGGGAAGGUUGAUGGUUUUACCAGAAAGUACAUGAUUUUGACAAACUGCCAACAAGAGCUUCAAAGGGAAAACCUCCCUAUGUGUACAAGUGUUGAUGGUGUUUAUCGUGACGGUGCACUGCUAGUUUGCCAUCUGUGUGUGCCACAAUGCUCGGAGAAGCAGCCCCUCCUACUGGGUGGAUACCCGUCGGGAAUCUACAGCACUUACACCAUCUCCUGCAGGACAACGAUGACGAUGAUGAACUCUGAUCUUAUGAUCUGUUGUUAAUUAUUUAAAAGGCUGUUUAGAAUUCAUGUUUGAGUUUUGUUUUUUCAAACAUGUAGUGUUUUUUGAAAGAUAAAAAAGUUACGUGAUGUCAAAGCCUCGUUGUUGUUGGCUUCUUUUUCAGGCCAAAGUUUUAUGUUAAUUGUUCUAGUCCUAACUUAAAAUGAUAUUAACAGGAAACUUGGUACGUGUUAUCAGUGCAAAGUUAUUCCUCCUGAUGAACUCAGAGGAAAAUAGAUGAGCAUAUUUGUGGUGCUAUAUUGAUAGAUCAUCUAUAUUGAUGGAUUAACAACCAAAUGCAUUACAGUUUAAACUAAAAACUGUCACUGAAAGUGCUACCCACUAAACAUGAAAUGUAUUCAUUCCAAUUAGGACUAAAAUCAAGUGCAUUUUGCAGAAAUGUAAGGGACAUGUACAGUAUGCAUCAUUUUAAGCUCGUCUGUUUUAGCAUAAAACAGUUGAGGUUUUGUCAUUGCCUUGGUGUUGUUAUCAGCGGAUAUGUUGUGCAGAAACUUUACCCUUGGCCAUACUUCCCAAACCAUUGAAGACAAUCCAAAGUCUUUUCACAUGUAUAGCAAGGCCCAUAACUCUGGCUUUAAUAACUGUUGAGUUAUGCCCCUUGUUUGUCUGAAAAUCACCAACAGACAAACAUUGGGUUGGUGUCACUGCUUCUUGUUAAAAUUGUUGUUAUAAAUUAUUUUGGGGUAUUUAUUUUGGUAAUAAUUUCAUUGCUUUGAUGUUCCUGUACCCGAUUGAACAUGUGUCUAGAGUAUGGUUUCCUCUCUAGGAGAUUGAAUCUCCUAAUUUGGUGUGUUAUAUACAUAUAAUACAAAUUCAAAAUAUUGGACCACUUCAGAACUUUGUUAAAGUUAACAAUGUGGUUAAUGCCUUUGUUGUUAACCUUUAAAGGUGAAGUAUUUGAUAUCAUGCUCAUAAAUUUAAAUGAAAUAAGUACACCUGAAACAGAUGUUAAAAUAUAUCCAUGAAAUUUGCACAGCUGUUAAAAUUAGAAAGUUUACAACAUGAUGUUAACAAGGUUGUUAAAAUUAACAAAGUUCUGAACAAAUAGCCGAUUAUUUUAAUACUUCGGCAAAACAUUGUAUGAAGUUUUAUUCUUAGAAGCCAUCUUCAGAGUAUAUAAUAAUUGAUGCUUUUUAUAUAUGUUAAUUUUCAUGAAAAAUAGGAUCUAAGUACUAUUACCACUUUUAUUGUACACUAGCAUGCCACAUAUUAUGCUCUUUUGUAGGACAUUGUUGAUUCAAUUUUAAGAACUUUUAUUACCUACUAUUUAUUGAGUGUUUUAAUUAUUUAAAUGAAUUAUUGUUUAUAUGAUUAUCAUGCAAUGACUUAUUUGUAUUUUUGCAUAUAUAUAUCUAGCACAAUAUUAUCAAAUUUACCAACUUAGAUUGACUUUGAUAUUGCUGUAAAAACAUUUAGUUGCAUAAGACUUUCAAUUGAUACAGUAUAAAGGACAUUUGAAAUGUCUGUCUGAUGUUUGCCUGCCUGUCUGUCUGCCUGCCUGUGUCUGAUGUCUGCCUGCCUGUGUCUAUGACUUGUCGAUGUGUGUUUGUAUGUCUGUCUGUCUGUCUAUCUGCCUGAUGUCUAUCAUAUUUUGUCUGCCUGUGUCUGAUACCUGUCUGAUGUCUGCCUGCCUGUGUCUAUGACUUGUCGAUGUUUGUUUGUAUGUCUGUCUGUCUAUCUGCCUGAUGUCUAUCAUAUUUUGCCAGUCUGUCUGCUAUCUGUCUUUCGAUGUUUGUUUUAUUCCUGCCAGUCUGUCUGAUGUGUGCCUGUCUGUGUCUGAUAUAUGUCUGUCAGAUGCCUGCCUGUGACUGGUAACUGUCUGUCUGUCUGUCUAUUUGUACUUCUGAUUGAUUAUAUGUGUUGAUGAUAUGAUCAAUAAUGUAUUAUGUCUGAAAGCAAAUACCUUUCUUGUAACUAUGAUACCAAAUUAUUAACCAAAUGUCCAAAAAUAAAUGAAAUAAAGGAUUUUGCUUGUCUUAAGAUUAAAUAAAAUUGUUAUUUGACUGUAAAGUUCUUUUAAAUUUUGUUAUUGUAUCCAGUAAAUGACACAUUAAGAAAUUAUCAAGCUGAUUAUAUUUUGGGUCUUACUACCUUAAUUAAGUUAUCUCCCUUUAACCAUGAUUGGUCUUGUUCGGGCCAUAUCUUGGAAAUUACUAAAACGAUUAAAAUGAAACUUCAAAUAUAGAUAUAUGGCAAUGAGAGGAAUUGCAGUGGACAAGAACCAUAAUCCUGCCCUGCAUAUUUAUAAGUAACCUCCCUUUACCUGAUAUUUAAAAAAAUGGGUACUUGUCCAGACCAUAUCUUGGAAAAUACUAAAUUGAUUCAUAUGAAACUUGAAAUGAAGAUAGGUGGCAAAAUGAGGAAUAGCAUAAACAAAGAACCAUAAUCAUGCCCUGCAUUUUUUAGUUAUUCCUUACCGUUUAUGAAAAUCUGAUGUCCGGGCCAUAUUUUGGAUAUUUAAGAAUUUCCAUAACUGCUUUUUUAUUUCAUUUCUUGAAAAAUACUUUUAUAUUUAAUUCUUAUACCUGCCCAUAUCUUCGUUCCAUGUCAUGGAUUCUUCCAACUGUGUAUAAUAAUGCUACAACAAUUUACCUUCUACGAGCAAAUUGUAUUACAAUUUCUGCCAUUUCAUAAAAAAUCUGCGUAUGAAGAGCAUCGCUUCCAGCAAUAUUCUUGUAAAAACAAAGUUGUCCUUUUUAGCUCGGCCAUUUGAAGAAUAAGGUGGCUUUACUACUUGCUCCAGUAUCGGCGUUCAGUAAUGGUUUUAGGGCAAGUUGGCAUUUUCACUUGCAACUCCGAUGCCCUUCAUUUUAUUAACUUAAUACUUCACACAGUUGUUAAGGACCAUCACACAAUCAUGGCACAUAGUGUCUGGUUUAAGUUUUAGAGCAAGUUGGAAUUUUUUAAUAUCUUCUAUGACCUUCAUUCAAUUGAAUUAAUACUUCACAUUGUUUAAGGUCAUCACACAAUUAUGUUACAUAACUCCAUAAUAUCCUUAAUACAAAUUAAGGCCCUUGAUCAACUGACUUUCUUAGAAAGUUUUGUUUAAGUUUUUGAGCAACUUUAUUUUUACUGAGAUCUUAAAUACCAAUCAUUCCAUCUACUUCAUACAUAGAACCAUCACAUAAUUAGGUUACAUAACUCUAUAUUAACCUUAUUACAAAUUGUAGCCCUUGAUUAAAUUCUUUUUUGAUUGCUUUUGGUGGCACAUUUUUUAUUUUACCAAAGUGAAACCUGGGUAUUAGAAUGACGUACGUCGUUGUUCGAGCAGGCCGCUGGGAGGGCUGUGUAAAACUAACUAUGAUUUCGAAUAAUAAUAUUUGAUAAAACGGGAAAAAAAUCUCGUAAUUGCCGUUUUAUUUGUUAUUUUCAGUACGAUAAGAGGGACGAAAAAAUAGAAAAACAAAGAAAUUGAGUACGAAUAAGAUCAGGUUUUAGUACGACGUCAUUCAUUGGUCGGUGAAAGGCAAUUGACACCAAUGAUAAGGCUUCUAGCAUACAUAUGACAUCAGGAUGAUUGCGUUGACUUCCGUUUAUUUCCGCAUUCAUUUUCUAGUAAAAGGCAGUGUAUUCUAGGAAAAAAUAGAUUGAUAGAGAUGUCCAUUCUGGUUCUUAAAGUCCUCUGACUUGCUGCUGAAGAGGAGAAGGCAGUUGAUACUAAUGAUGUGCUUUAAUCUUCUACUAUCAGUGGUUGUACAAGAUGUCUUGAUAAAGAGGGUGAAGCUGUCCAUGUCUUCCUAUUGUUUUUGCAAAACACAAGACACAUAUUCGGUUCAAGAACAGACCUACAAUAAAUGAAUUGUGAUCAAUGUGAAUGAAAACUAUCCUUGACUGCAAGCACUAAAGAAAUACACACAAGUGCAUACAUACAUACAUUUGGAACAAAAAUUAAGACGUCUAUAUAAAACUGAGAGUAUGACACAGGAUGUGAAACAACAUUUCAAAUGCUAAAAACGGUCCAACUAGAGAUUUUCAUAGAGUAUCAUGGCUGUUUAACCCUUGCAAAAUUAGCUUUUAAAGGGUCUGUGUAUACUGAAGACAUUGUUACUGUUUUAUAUAACGUUUUAUCUAAUCUUAUUAUUAAAUUGUAAAAAUUAGUAAUUAAUAUUUUUGUCCAGUGUCUGUUUAACUCUCGUGGUUUUUGAAGACAUAAAAAAUCCAGGUUAUGUUUUUGGGCAAGAACUGGCCGCCUGGUUAAAUCUGUUGGUUACUAAAGAGCACCGUGCUAGUGUACCUGCAGUCCUCGAUUCGAGCCCCACAGCCGAAGCACAUUUUCCUUACAUGUUACUUUAGUAUUGUAAUAGUAAAAACGCAUAGGUGUUGUCAGUGUAGGCAUUGUUGUGCAAAACAUAAACCUUGGUCAUA